rnacentral:lncRNA from 1 species
UUCUCCACUUUCAGCAAACAUCACAGCUGCUAUGCCCAUAUCCUCCUGCCUAUGCCUUCUCUUCACACUGUACCUGCUCCUCUGGCUCUACAAAUCCCACAUGUCACUCCUUAAAGGACAACCAAAUGAUCCCCACUUCACUGGCCCAGUCUUUUCUGUAUCUUAUAAUCACCCAAUGAUGGUGGGAUGUGAGUAUGGAGGUUGAAGGCAGAGGUACAGUAUUAUAAUGCUAUAUUUUAGGAUGACUUCAAUCAAGCAAAAUCAACUUUGUGUCAGGUCCUGCUUGGUGAUAGCUAUGAGUUAACAAAAAGGGCAGAAACUUUCAGCUACAGCAUUUCCAUUUAUCAAUAAAUUUACAUUGCUAUAAAAUUAAUCAUUAGAUUGUCAACUGUUACAUAGAUGUUUCAUAUGAAGUGUCUUUUCUUGUCAAUAGGAAUAGAAGCCUAUAAAAACACAGGAGCGGUGGAUUUUGCUAUUCAGGAUGCCCUUUAAUACCUAGCAAAGCCCUGGACAUCAAGAACUUAACAACUUAAUUGACCAUAUUAUAUUAUAUCAAUGUAUCUUUAACUUGCUCUUUGGCUAUCCCUGUGACCCAAAAAGUGAUAUGUCCAAUUCUGGGCUAUUUAAUUUAAAGUUUCCACUUCUUGCUCUUUAUUUGAUUGAAGUUGGAUGAGAAAAAAUACAGCCUAUGUAAUAUAUAUCGAUGUUAUAGUCACAUACACAUAUGCCUUUACAAAAGCAAGUUUUGGCCUCAGCUACACUUUAGAAUCCUAUCAUUGUACUUUUGUCAAAUGAGGUUAGUAUCUAAAAACUAAUGGAUACAAUUAUUGGAAGAAAUUUCUCAUUAAAAUAAAGGAAUAAACAUCAGAGGCAGGUCUGAACACAGAAAGUUUGCAUCCUAAUUUUUUUUCAUGGAGAUCACAAAUUCCUGAAGCAUCAAACAUAUAUAUAUAUAUAUAUAUAUAUAUAUAUAUAUAUAUAUUCUGUGUGUAUGUGUGUGUACAUAUAUAUAUUCUGUAUAUAUAUAUUUUGUGUGUGUGUGUGUGUGUGUGUGUGUAUUCUGUAGUCUACUGCCCAUUAGGUGAAGAAAACAUGGUCACUGUCUCAUGUUUAAAAUAAGAGAAAAAAAAUUACUUCUCCUUCGAAUACAUUUGUCAACGCUCCAAAGAAAUAAACAAUAUGUGAAUAGUUCAGUACAAUUAUAUAUUUACAAAGCAUAGGGGGUUUAGUCUAACAUUUUCCCACCUGAAUAAACUGAGCUUAAGUAUCUCCGACAAUCAAAAGGC